rnacentral:rRNA from 1 species
AUUAGCUAGUUGGUGGGGUAAUGGCCCACCAAGGCGACGAUGCAUAGCCGACCUGAGAGGGCGACCAGCCACACUGGAACUGAGACACGGUCCAGACUCCUACGGGAGGCAGCAGUGGGGAAUUUUGGACAAUGGGCGAAAGCCUGAUCCAGCAAUGCCGCGUGAGUGAAGAAGGCCUUCGGGUUGUAAAGCUCUUUUGUCAGGGAAGAAACGGUUUGGGCUAAUACCCUGAGCUAAUGACGGUACCUGAAGAAUAAGCACCGGCUAACUACGUGCCAGCAGCCGCGGUAAUACGUAGGGUGCAAGCGUUAAUCGGAAUUACUGGGCGUAAAGCGUGCGCAGGCGGUUUUGUAAGUCUGACGUGAAAUCCCCGGGCUCAACCUGGGAAUUGCGUUGGAGACUGCAAGGCUAGAAUCUGGCAGAGGGGGGUAGAAUUCCACGUGUAGCAGUGAAAUGCGUAGAGAUGUGGAGGAACACCGAUGGCGAAGGCAGCCCCCUGGGUCAAGAUUGACGCUCAUGCACGAAAGCGUGGGGAGCAAACAGGAUUAGAUACCCUGGUAGUCCACGCCCUAAACGAUGUCUACUAGUUGUCGGGUUUUAAUUAACUUGGUAACGCAGCUAACGCGUGAAGUAGACCGCCUGGGGAGUACGGUCGCAAGAUUAAAACUCAAAGGAAUUGACGGGGACCCGCACAAGCGGUGGAUGAUGUGGAUUAAUUCGAUGCAACGCGAAAAACCUUACCUACCCUUGACAUGUACGGAAGACCGAAGAGAUUUGGG